rnacentral:rRNA from 1 species
UGUAAAAACCCAAAUAGACUAAAAGCACCAGAUCCUGUCAGACCUUGGAAGUUAAGUAGGGUUUGUCCUGGUUAGUGUUUGGAUAGGAGACCACCAACAAAUACCAGGUGCUGUAGGAU